rnacentral:lncRNA from 1 species
GGGUGGACCUGAUGAGUUGCUCCAGCUUAAGAAAUGCGAAAUUCGUGAAUCGGAAGAAGAUUGUUCCAGCAGCGGUGACAGUUGAUGCAAAGUGGAGUUGAUGUGUGGUUGAAGAUCUAUAUGGAAGGAAGAGGUAGCUUCAGACGGCUUCCAUGAACUGGAAGAAAGCUAGGAGAUGGAGAAAAGAUCAGAGAAUGUGACUUUGGACAGAGCAUCUCUCGGCUGAAAGAAUGAAUCAGCAAAGAAGAAAAAUUCUCAUAGAUUUCCAAAGUGAUUUACAAUAGUGUUGCCAUGAAUUUAUAUGGAUUCACAAGGCAUGUGUGUGAGUGAUGAUCU